GUGCUCGCUUCGGCAGCACAUAUACUAAAAAAAUGGAAUGAUAUA
rnacentral:snRNA from 1 species